GAUCAGUAUACGCCCCUGUUUUGAAAACAGGGCUAGAGUUUUUAAAUAACACUCACUGGUUU
rnacentral:tRNA from 1 species